rnacentral:rRNA from 1 species
GACGAACGCUGGCGGCGUGCUUAACACAUGCAAGUCGAACGGAAAGGCCCUGCUUUUGUGGGGUGCUCGAGUGGCGAACGGGUGGGUAACACGUGAGUAACCUGCCCUUGACUUUGGGAUAACUUCAGGAAACUGGGGCUAAUACCGGAUAGGAGUUCCUGCUGCAUGGUGGGGGUUGGAAAGUUUCGGCGGUUGGGGAUGGACUCGCGGCUUAUCAGCUUGUUGGUGGGGUAGUGGCUUACCAAGGCUUUGACGGGUAGCCGGCCUGAGAGGGUGACCGGCCACAUUGGGACUGAGAUACGGCCCAGACUCCUACGGGAGGCAGCAGUGGGGAAUAUUGCACAAUGGGCGGAAGCCUGAUGCAGCAACGCCGCGUGCGGGAUGACGGCCUUCGGGUUGUAAACCGCUUUCGCCUGUGACGAAGCGUGAGUGACGGUAAUGGGUAAAGAAGCACCGGCUAACUACGUG